GCCCCGGUGGCUUAGUGGUAGAGCGCUUCCUUGGUAAGGAAGAGGUCGCGAGUUCGAUUCUCGCCCGGGGCU
rnacentral:tRNA from 1 species